rnacentral:lncRNA from 1 species
GAGAUCAGAUGCCAAGGGGUCCGUCUCUUCCCCUUUUAUAGCCUUCACCAGCCGCACGUCGUGGGAAGAUAAAGAUGACAGGAAGUAGGAUAAGGCUCACGAGUGGUUAAUCGUUGGGAGAUAAUCCGUGAUGCGAGAGAGGUUGGUUUCGUUCAUGGGAUACGGGAGGAAAGGAAGACGGUUGGGAUGCUGGGAUGGAAUCGUGAGAUGAGUAGAGGCUUUGAACGCGGAUGGGAUGAAGGCUGAUGGAUUCGGCUGAAAGUUGGAUGGAUCUGUGAGCAGGGGAUGAGCUGGGAGAUUUGUUGCUUGAUUUGAUUCGCUGGGUUUGGAGCUUAUCCCGUGGGAUAUUGGGAAAGGAUCUCGGCUGACAGUUGAGAUGAAGCUCGUGGGAUAAGGAUGAAUCAGUUGUUUUGUCCGAGCGGGAUGAGAGCGGGAUUUGAGUUCAUCCUGUGAGCGUUUGAGAAGAUUUCGGAGGAAGAGGUUGUGGACGACGGAAUGGCUGGGAUUGAUUUCGGAAGAGAUUAAUCCAAAACAGGGGAAUGGAAGAUGGCUGGAUAAGGAUGAUCGCAG